AUUGAACGCUGGCGGCAGGCCUAACACAUGCAAGUCGAGCGGAGCGUCGGACGGGUGAGUAAUGCCUAGGAAUCUGCCUGGUAGUGGGGGAUAACGUCCGGGAACGGGCGCUAAUACCGCAUACUAUCAGAUGCGACUAGGUCGGCUUGGGUAGUGGGGGGGGUAAAGGCCUAACAAGGCGACGAUCCGUAACUGGUCUGAGAGGAGGAGCAGCCAAACGGGAACUUGGACACGGUCCAGACUCCUACGGGAGGCAGCAGUGGGGAAUAUUGCACAAUGGGCGCAAGCCUGAUGCAGCCAUGCCGCGUGUAUGAAGAAGGCCUUCGGGUUGUAAAGUACUUUCAGCGGGGAGGCGUUACCCGCAGAAGAAGCACCGGCUAACUCCGUGCCAGCCGCCGCGGUAAUUC
rnacentral:rRNA from 1 species